GACGAACGCUGGCGGCGUGCCUAAUACAUGCAAGUCGAACGCAGUGGGGCCGGGGGAGUAACACGUGGGUAACCUCCCAUCAGAGGGGAUAACACUUGGAAACAGGUGCCAAACCGAUACUGAUGGAUGAACCCGUGGGGCAUUAGCUAGUUGGUGAGGUAACGGCUCACCAAGGCCACGAUGCGUAGCUGGCCUGAGAGGGGUGUGUGGCACACUGGAGAUGAGACACGGCCCAGGCUACUUCGGGAGGGAGCAGUAUGGAAGCUUGGGGAAUGGCCGAAAGUCUGACCAAGCAACGUCGCGUGAGUGAAGAAGGUAAUCGGAUCGUAAAACACUGUUGUUAGAGAAGCGGUAUCUAUCCAGAAAGCCACGGCUAACGACGUGCUAGCCGCCGCGGUAAUAC
rnacentral:rRNA from 1 species